GAAACACGGACCAAGGAGUCUAGCAUGUGCGCGAGUCAUUGGGAAUAACUAAACCUAAAGGCGUAAUGAAAGUAAAGGUCAGCCCAGCGCUGACCGAGGGAAGAUGAACGGUCACGGUUUCCGUGCCGUUCCGCACUCCCGGGGCGUCUCAUUCUCAUUGCGAGAAGAGGCGCACCAAGAGCGUACACGCUGGGACCCGAAAGAUGGUGAACUAUGCCUGGUCAGGACGAAGUCAGGGGAAACCCUGAUGGAGGUCCGUAGCGAUUCUGACGUGCAAAUCGAUCGUCGGAACUGGGUAUAGGGGCGAAAGACUAAUCGAACCAUCUAGUAGCUGGUUCCCUCCGAAGUUUCCCUCAGGAUAGCUGGCGCUCGUCGCCUACGAGUCUCAUCCGGUAAAGCGAAUGAUUAGAGGCAUUGGGGUCGAAACGGCCUCAACCUAUUCUCAAACUUUAAAUGGGUGAGAUCUCCGGCUUGCUCGAACUUAUGAAGCCGCGAGACACGGAUCAGAGUGCCAAGUGGGCCAUUUUUGGUAAGCAGAACUGGCGCUGUGGGAUGAACCAAACGCCGAGUUAAAGCGCCUAAAUCGACGCUUAUGGGAUACCAUGAAAGGCGUUGGUAACUUAAAACA
rnacentral:rRNA from 1 species